AAUAGGAAUAGUAGAUUUGGUCAAAGUGUUAAAUUUUUCAGUUUAUAUUUUUUUGCAAUCCUGAGACCAUCUUUUACAUCAUGGCAAGAUCUUCGACCAA
rnacentral:lncRNA from 1 species